GUCCACGCCGUAAACGAUGGUUACUAGCUGUUUGGACUUCGGUCUGAGUGGCUAAGCGAAAGUGAUAAGUAACCCACCUGGGGAGUACGUUCGCAAGAAUGAAACUCAAAGGAAUUGACGGGGGCCCGCACAAGCGGUGGAGCAUGUGGUUUAAUUCGAUGAUACGCGAGGAACCUUACCAGGGCUUAAAUGUAGUCUGACAGCUUUAGAGAUAGAGUUUUCUUCGGACAGAUUACAAGGUGCUGCAUGGUU
rnacentral:rRNA from 1 species